GACGGCGUGGCACAGUGGCUACUGCGGUAGACUCGAAUAGAUCUUUCGAUUCUUCCGACAUCUACUCCUCUCUGAGGGCGCAGGUUCGAGUCCUGCCGCCGUCG